GAUGAACGCUGGCGGCGUGCCUAAUACAUGCAAGUCGAGCGAACAGACGAGGAGCUUGCUCCUCUGACGUUAGCGGCGGACGGGUGAGUAACACGUGGAUAACCUACCUAUAAGACUGGGAUAACUUCGGGAAACCGGAGCUAAUACCGGAUAACAUGUUGAACCGCAUGGUUCAACAGUGAAAGACGGUCUUGCUGUCACUUAUAGAUGGAUCCGCGCCGCAUUAGCUAGUUGGUAAGGUAACGGCUUACCAAGGCAACGAUGCGUAGCCGACCUGAGAGGUUGAUCGGCCACACUGGAACUGAGACACGGUCCAGACUCCUACGGGAGGCAGCAGUAGGGAAUCUUCCGCAAUGGGCGAAAGCCUGACGGAGCAACGCCGCGUGAGUGAAGAAGGUCUUCGGAUCGUAAAACUCUGUUAUUAGGGAAGAACAAAUGUGUAAGUAACUAUGCACGUCUUGACGGUACCUAAUCAGAAAGCCACGGCUAACUACGUG
rnacentral:rRNA from 1 species